rnacentral:rRNA from 1 species
GAUGAACGCUAGCGAUAGGCCUAACACAUGCAAGUCGAGGGGCAUCACAUGAAGUAGCAAUACGGAUGGUGGCGACCGGCGCACGGGUGAGUAACACGUAUGCAACCUGCCUUCAACAAGGGGAUAACCCGUUGAAAGACGGACUAAUACCCUAUAACACAGGGGUCCCGCAUGGGGAUAUUUGUUAAAGGACAACCGGUUGAAGAUGGGCAUGCGUUCCAUUAGCUAGUUGGCGGGGUAACGGCCCACCAAGGCAACGAUGGAUAGGGGAACUGAGAGGUUUAUCCCCCACACUGGUACUGAGACACGGACCAGACUCCUACGGGAGGCAGCAGUGAGGAAUAUUGGUCAAUGGACGCAAGUCUGAACCAGCCACGUCGCGUGAAGGAAGACGGCCCUACGGGUUGUAAACUUCUUUUAUACGGGAAUAAAGUGCCCCACGCGUGGAGUUUUGCAUGUACCGUAUGAAUAAGGAUCGGCUAACUCCGUG